ensembl:lncRNA
UCUUGCCUUCUGAUUGGCCUAGUGAAAAUGUUGUCGUAUUGCUUCUACCUAUCCAAUCCUCUUAGAUCUGCAAGGGUGGCUAGGGAAUAGGGGGUUCAUUUGGAAUUCAGCACACAUAAGGUGGUUGAAUAACUGAUUUCAAAUAUUGUAGGUGAAACUGGGAUGUCCCAUGUAUGUUUGGUACAAGACAUGGGUUAUUUUAUUCACCACUGUCCAAUAUUGAUGUGCAGUAAGAAUUUCAUACAGAACGCUGGUACAGUGAUAUUCAUUAUGGUCCUUUGCCUGUACUUUACACAGAUGUGACCAUGAUUUCUCCAAACACCCUGAGAGAUACCACAAAUACAGCCCAGCGCAGGUGGAGGAGAUGAUUGAGAGACUAUUUGAUAUCUCAGCCUGAGGUUGAGAACCUGCUUAGUUAGGAGAUAAUAUAAGGCCUUCACACUGCCUCUAUAGCAAAUAACACACUAUUAAUUUGUUUCCACACUACUAAUACUACAGCUUCAGUCCCCAUUACAUGUAUUCAUUAGAGUUCUAAGCCUCUAUUCUGGGGGAUUAUAUCACUACAGUCCCCAUUACAUGUAUUCAUUAGAGUUCUAGGCCUCUAUUCUGGGGGAAUUAUAGCACUUCAGUCCCCAUUACAUGUAUUCAUUAGAGUUCUAGGCCUCUAUUCUGGGGGAUUAUAGCACUACAGUCUCCAUUACAUGUAUUCAUUAGAGUUCUAGGCCUCUAUUCUGGGGGAUUAUAGCACUACAGUCCCCAUUACAUGUAUUCAUUAGAGUUCUAGGCCUCUAUUCUGGGGGAUUAUAGCACUACAGUCCCCAUUACAUGUAUUCAUUAGAGUUCUAGGCCUCUAUUCUGGGGGAUUAUAUUACUACAGUCCCCAUUACAUGUAUUCAUUAGAGUUCUAGGCCUCUAUUCUGGGGGAUUAUAGCACUACAGUCCCCAUUACAUGUAUUCAUUAGAGCCCUAAUUGCUAAAUGUAUUAUUACACAUAUGACUGGCUAGUUCUAAACAUGUUUAAAUAAAUAUUGUUAAAGCCCUACUUCAGAAUAAACACAUCUAGUUAUUUUACCCAGAAAUGCAAAACAACUAGCUUUUUGUUUGUGCUUGCAAAACUUCUGAAGACCCAAAUACACCAAUAUUUUUUAAAAUGGUUGUUAAAAGCGAAUAAAGAAUUUAUGACCAGAAAUCUAAUUGGUUGAUCUUACAUUGAGAACCAAAGGAGAAAUAUAAAAUGACGACUGCAUAAACAAUGAGAAUGGUGAGAUAGAUACAGAAACAGAUCAAGUCCACUUUGUUGGCAAAGCGAUGGUGUAUAGCAUUUUUCUGGUCUUGUGCAGCCAUUUUGUUGAGAAACUUCACCACCUUCUGGAGGGCUGUAUUCUUCUCUUCCGCUGAGGCUUUAAUAUCAGACUUGGAUUCUAGACAAAGUAAAUGAGAGGAAAAAGGAUAACCUAAUAUUAAUAUAACAUGAUUAAAUAAAGAUGUACAAAUUGACAGUUUUCAGUGACAGAUGAAAGAUCAAAUGGAGUAGCUGUCCAGACCAGCGUAAACGCCAGACAAAUGAUGCUAACAAGAAAAGAUGCUGGGAAAGACGUCAACUGCAUGCUUUAACUGCAGCUAAAGGUGAGUCUUUGGACUUGGAGAGGCUGCAGGGCCAGAGAGUGCCACACUUAGCCAGGCGUGUGAGCACCAUAGACUGCAACGUGCUCAACACCAGGAUGACCAAACAGAAACAGAAGUGCUUUCCUAUGGAGAACAACAAGAGAGAUGUGAUACUCACGGAUGAUGGGGCUGCACUGGCCUCCUCCAGGCAGUAGGUCGUUGAGGAUGAUGAGGAACAUGAUGAAGCUGAGAACCAGUGUAACCUUGAAUGAGAUACGCUCGCCCCUCCCAGUGGCAGGGAGAAGCUCACCACAUCUGCCACAAUGAUCAGUAUACUGGGCAGGACCAGGGACAGAAACGGGUUUUCAGACCGCAUUUUCAGCGACACCUGUGAAGACAGAUGGAUUUUCAAGUUAGAUGGGGAGCGGCGAUGAACAGCAAUCUAAGUUUUUUUUCAAUGAGAUUCAAGUCUGGGCUUUGACUGGGCCACUCAGGGACUUUCACAUUCUUGUUCUGAAGCCAUUCCAUCGUUGCUUUGGCUGCAAGUAUUCACCCCCAGUCUAAUGUCGUUUGCACUCUGAAGCAGGUGCUCAUCAAGGAUGUAUUUGGCUCCAUUCAAUGUUCUCUCUAUCCUUACCAGUCUCUCAAUCCCUGCUGCUCAACAGGGUAGGGAUGGUGUUAGAGGGUGAUGAGCUGUGCCUGGUUUUCUCCAGACAUAGUGGUUUGCAUUCAGGCCAAAGAGUUCCAUUUUUGUCUCAUCAGACCACAGAAUAUUUUUGCCUUAUGCUCGAGUCUUUC